rnacentral:lncRNA from 1 species
GUCCUAAUGGGUAUGAAGUGGUAUCUCAUUGUUUUUGUUUGUAUUUCUCUGAUGAUUAGUGGGAUGUUGAGCAUCUUUUCAUAUGAUUGCUGACCAUUUGUGUAUCAUUUUUGGAGAAGUGUCUAUUCAAAUCUUUUGCCCAUUUUUAAAAUAAGUUAUAUGAUAUUUUGUUGAGUUGCAUUAAUUUUUUCUAUAUUCUGGAUAUUAACCCUUCAGCGUCUCUUUUGCCAUCUAACACGGCAUUCACAGGUUGUAGGGAUUGAAAUUUAGAUAUCUUUAGGAGACCACUAUUCAGCCUACCACAUGUGGACUGUCAAGGCCUUCAUUCCUCAUUAUAACACUGGCUCUUAUCAUGGAAGAACUUGAGAAAUCAUUAGUCCAGCUUCUACCUAUUUUGUCUAGUAAUGCACUUUUAUUUUAAAUUUAAUUAAACAAUUGACCUGGUUUUUCUACUUUGUUCAGUUUGCCUGAGUAUCAAACCUGUGUCAUUCAUAGUAUUUAUUUUUUAUAUUUUAAAACUGAUAUUUGCUCAACAGAUCUAAUUAUUUUCCAUUUUUAUAGCUCAAUGUAGAUGCUCCUGAUUUUUGCAAGAGACCUUACUAGCUCAGCCAGUCCUGAUAGAGCCUAUUUUAGCAGGGAGAAGAAAGAAUAUUCAGGUUCUACAAAAUUGUGGAGCAUGAGGAUAGGUUUACCAACCCAGUGUGACUCUGAGAUACUGAAUGAGCAUGAGAAAGUGACACUUCAUGACUGAAAUUUGGAAGCCUCUCGUGUGGAGCUAAAAACCCAAGCCACCUUUUACAGUGUUGCAACCUCAGUCCCAAGCAGCCUAAACUAAGAAGAGCAAGCCAAAAUGAGAAGCCAAGAAAAGGAUAGAAAAACAGGAUGCUGAUGGGUCUGCACUUUAGAGAGAACGGUGUGUGCUAAGCCCAGGAGGAAAUAGAUGAUCUUCUGAUGUAAUUCCUGCUCAGAAGUGAACAUUUGCUCCAUGCCAUUUCUGCCACCAACACUGAAAAAUUAGAAAAAUACCUUGGAUCUCUUCAUUAUACAGAAACAAUAGUGCAAAUUUGUGUGACCUAGACUGGAAUAGACCAAGGUUACAUUCUGAGCUAAGCCCAAUUCUUAGAAAUAUAAUUCUUUCAUCUUUAAUUUUCUAUUUCAUUUGAGCAAAACGGUUGGAGAUUUCAGAAGCACUCAGCAGGACUGAGGAUUGUUGAUGAAUUUCAAGGUUUUGUUGAAUACUUUAAAUUGCAACUAAUUAUAAGUCGUUCUUUAGAAAUUGUUAUACAACACCAUUUUUGUAAUUGAUUUGUAUAAACAGAUAUCGCAUUGCAUUAUGUUUGGUUUUUGUGGUCUGUAAAUUCU